rnacentral:rRNA from 1 species
CACGUAGUUAGCCGGCGCUUCUUAUCCAGCUACCGUCAACCCACCCACAAGGGACAGGCCUGGCUUCACUGGCGAAAGAGGUUCACAACCCGAAGGCCUCCAUCCCUCACGCGGCGUCGCUGCAUCAGGCUUGCGCCCAUUGUGCAAUAUUCCCCACUGCUGCCUCCCGUAGGAGUCUGGGCCGUGUCUCAGUCCCAGUGUGACCGUCCACCCUCUCAGGCCGGCUACCCCGUCACCGCCUUGGUAGGCCAUCACCCCACCAACAAGCUGAUAGGCCGCGAGCCCAUCCCCCACGAAACAAUAUCUUUCCCACACCCACCAUGCAGCAGGCGCAGAAUAUCCCGUAUUAGCCACACUUUCAUGCGGUUAUCCAGAAGAAGGGGCAGGUUACUCACGUGUUACUCACCCGUUCGCCACUCAUCCAGAACCAGAAAACUGAUCCCUUCACCGUUCGACUUGCGUGUGUUAAGCACGCCGCCAGCGUCGUCCUGAGCCAGGA